CGUGGUGGUCCGAUACGAGAAGGAUGGUGACUCUAGGGUUUCUUGGCAAUUGGGAUUUUCUGAUUUCUAGUUUUGUAGGUAAUGAAGAUGAAUGUGCUGCAGUGAUGGAGUUGAUUUCACGGUGGUUAUGGAGGUUGAGGCGUUGUCUGUAGUCCAUAGUAAAACUAAUAUAUUUUUCUCUUAUAAAAGUUGAAGAGGUGGGAGAG
rnacentral:sRNA from 1 species